rnacentral:rRNA from 1 species
ACCUACGGGGGCAGCAGUGAGGAAUAUUGGUCAAUGGGAGAGAUCCUGAACCAGCCAAGCCGCGUGAGGGAAGACGGCCCUAUGGGUUGUAAACCUCUUUUGUCGGAGAACAAAACCCGGGACGUGUCCCGGACUGCGUGUAUCCGAAGAAAAAGCAUCGGCUAACUCCGUGCCAGCAGCCGCGGUAAUACGUAUGGGGCGAGCGUUAUCCGGAUUUACUGGGUGUAAAGGGAGCGUAGGCGGCCUGGCAAGCCUGAUGUGAAAUACCGGGGCCCAACCCCGGGGCUGCAUUGGGAACUGCCAGG